rnacentral:rRNA from 1 species
GGCAUGCAUGAGCGCAGCCUGAUCCAGCCAUGCCGCGUGAGUGAAGAAGGCCUUCGGGUUGUAAGCUCUUUCGGCCGGGAAGAUAUCGUGGUCUCUAACAUAGGCCAUGGAUGACGGUACCGGACUAAGAAGCACCGGCUAACUACGUGCCAGCAGCCGCGGUAAU